AGACUUGAAACAUUUCUAAAGUAUCAGAUAUAAGCAAAUGGAUGGGAAUGCUUUACUGGCAUUUGCAAGUAGAUGUUGUGCUCUCCUCAUUUACAGAAUCUCCUCAGAUGUUGUACUUCAAGCCCUCUCUGGAUAUUUGAUUCUGUGAACAGCUGCUGAACAUUCAGAUUGAUUGCUUUUCCUUCACAUACUACUGAAGAGUUCAUUUAUUCCGCUGCAGUCUGGUGGGAUUUAUAUUUGAGUACUAUCCUGAGCCUGUGUUCCAGCCCAAAGCUCUUCAAAGUGCAUCCACGCUGCUCAGACUUGGCCCUGUGCUCAACAGCAGACCUUAGGAGACCUCGGGGGUCCAGAAGAGGCAUAUGCUGAGAGCACUGAAUGAAUAUCUUUGGAGUGCAGAGAGUGUGGACAGGUCUGUUCCAGUCUGGUAGCAGCAUUGGAUGGUCAGUGUUGGGCUCCUUCAUCCAUCAGCAUAGCACACAGAUGUCUCACUUUAGAUGAAGGAAGAAACUGGAUUUUCUACCAAGAUGAGUGGAAGUGCAGUAAGACCUCGGUGCCAGUACUGCCCAACUGCAGGAAGGGCUGGGCUCAGCUGUCCUGGCUGGUGUUGGAGAUCCCUGCUCAGGAGAGGAGCGUGCUUUGGGCUUUGCAUCAGUGCCUGCCUGACCAGAAAGAGGCCACUUCUUGGGGAUGACUGCCCCCUCCAUCAAGGAAAAGGUCCAUGAGGUUAAAGCCAAGUGGAAACGUCCUUAUAUGUGUAUUAGUACCUGGACUGAAGUUGGGUCAUCUUGGCCUUCUGCAUUUCGUUGUCUUCAUGUUCUGAAUAAAUGGAGCUUGUUACAGAUGGAGACCAUACUGCUCCUAGACAAGGACCAAUGAUACUUUUGACAGUACAAAAUGACCACGGCCAAUUCAAGUGUUCAGCUGCCAAAGUCAUACCUGAAAAUAUGCUGCUCUCUGGGCAAAGAAAGCAGAAGUGCUUUCUGCACUGCCUCUCUCACUGUUUGCCUCAGUUUUAGCCUUGGAAGACACCCAGUGCUUUAAAGACCUAGGCAGAUGGGGUAGAACUAAUCCAAAUAAAUCAAUUAAGAGGUCCACAUCUGAGCUACUUGGAUUAGACUCUCUCCUGAAUUGUUAAUGGACAUCAUACAAUUCAUCAUGCACUAAAAUAGAGAGCUAAAAUAGGACAGGUGACUCAUGCCUAAAAAUAGAUAAUCACUUCCAUUAAGUAAUAAGGGAAGCCUGGAGUGCCCAGUUCAGCUGCAAAUGUAUAUGCAUCACAGGUGUCUUUUUUCUGCAAGCAGUAUUCUUAAUAACACAUUGUGAAAGACCGGGGGCUCAUAAAAACACUACUGUGGGAAAUCAAAUUACAUUCUCUUAAUUUGAGCCCACUCACCAUCACUAUAUGAAGCUGACAUCCCUGAUAAAAGCGGUCUUUGUUUGAUAUUUUGAGCAAUAAAAGAAUUUUCCCAAUCUUGAAGGGGCCUGGCUAAGCCACACAUCCUUAUUAUCCAAGCUCUGGUGCAAUAUUAUGACCUUCCUUGCCACAUCUGCUGAUUUACAUAAUUGUCCCUCACCAGGUGACAAAUUUCACUCUUCUCUUUGUCAAAGAGAAUUUAGCUUUUAGAAGCAGUGAGGUAUCACACUUCCCAAAUAGAUGCUAUUUUUCUUAAUGUUUUGCAAGCACUGCAGAGACAGUGCAAGCAAUGACUCAGCUCCGUAACACCUACCUAAAAAUGGAGGGAAAAGGGGUUAACCAAUGUGUACAUAAAUGUAUCCAACAAAAGCAACUGGCUGCCUGGGCUUUGGGCAAUCUGUCAGAGAUGAGUGCUCCCUCCCACUGUCUUGUGAUCUUCUUUUCUUUAUUAUUAAUAGUGAUAUUUAUUGUUAUUAUUUUGUAGGAAAGGGUUUAAUCUUAUUUUACGUAUGUUUUUAGUCUGUUUAUUGUUCUCCACGUUUGUCCUUCAGGGAGGAAGAAGAAAUGUUUCAAAACACACUGAAAGACUAUGGCUCAUACCCACCUCAUGUACACAAAUUCAGUAUACAAAAGACCAGGAAAAAAUACUGUUGCUAAGCACAUGAACCCUCUUUUAUCUGAAACAGAGUAAAAGACACUGCUUCUGACUCUGAAUGUUCCACCGUGCAAACAAAUUCUGUAAUGUGACAUAUUAGCUAGAAGGUGCAGUGUUCUCUCUCUGUUGUUGUACCCAAUUCUUGGUUGCAUUUUGAAAUAAACAUCAUAGUUUGAAAUAUGGGUUAGCAGAA